AGCUUAGGGAGCAAACAUGAUUAGAGACGUUGUGGUCCACGCCGUAAAUGAUGAGUUAUAGGUGUUGAGGGUAUUGACCCCUUUUUUGCCGCAGUUAACACAAUAAGCAUUCCGCCGGGGGAGUUCGGCCGCAAGGUUGAAACUCAAAGGAAUUCACGGGGGUCCGCACAAGCGGUGGAGCAUGUGGUUUAUUUGGAUUCAACGCAAAGAACCUUACCAAGGCUUGACAUCCUCAGAAUCCCGUAAAACAUGGAAGUGCCCUUCGAGGAACUGAGAGACAGGUGGUUCAUGAUUUCGUCAGCUCGUGUCUUGAGAUGUGGGGUUAAGUCCCGCAACGAGCGCUACCCCUAUGUUUGGUUGUUAACAGGUAAGGCUGAGCACUGUAGAUAGACUGCCGGUGAUAAACCGGGGGAAGGUGGGGAUGACGUCAAAUCAUCAUGCCCCUUAUGUCUUGGGAUACCCCCGAGCUACAAUGGCCGGUACAGGCGGAAGAGAAGCUGUGAAGGGAAGCAAAUCCGAGAAAUUCGGUCUCAGUUCGGAUUGUUCUUUGCAAAUUGAGAACAUGAAGUCGGAAUCGUUAGUAAUGGCAGGUCAGCAUACUCGGGUGAAUACGUUCCCGGGCCUUGUACACACCGCCCGUCACACCAGGAAAGUGUGCAACACCCGAAGCCGGGGAGGUAACCAGAAAGGGAGCUAGCCGUAGAAGGUGGGGCCGAUGAGGGGGUGAAGUCGUAACAAGGUAACAGUAA
rnacentral:rRNA from 1 species